UACGUAGGGUGCAAGCGUUAAUCGGAAUUACUGGGCGUAAAGCGUGCGCAGGCGGUUCGCUAAGACAGAUGUGAAAUCCCCGGGCUUAACCUGGGAACUGCAUUUGUGACUGGCGGGCUAGAGUAUGGCAGAGGGGGUAGGAAUUCCACGUGUAGCAGUGAAAUGCGUAGAGAUGUGGAGGAAUACCGAUGGCGAAGGCAGCCCCCUGGGCCAAUACUGACGCCUCAUGCACGGAAAGCGUGGGGAGCAAACACGG
rnacentral:rRNA from 1 species